GAUGAAGAACGUAGCGAAAUGCGAUACGUAAUGUGAAUUGCAGAAUUCAGUGAAUCAUCGAAUCUUUGAACGCACAUUGCGCCCGCCAGUAUUCUGGCGGGCAUGCCUGUUCGAGCGUCAUUUCAACCAUCAAGCCCCAGGCUUGUGUUGGGGACCUGCGGCUGCCGCAGGCCCUGAAAACCAGUGGCGGGCUCGCUGUCACACCGGGCGUAGUAGAUUUUAUCUCGCUCAGGGCGUGCUGCGGGUUCCGGCCGUUAAAAAGCCUUUUUUACCCAAGGUUGACCUCGGAUCAGGUAGGAAGACCCGCUGAACUUAAGCAUAUCAAUAUGCGGAGGA
rnacentral:misc_RNA from 1 species